rnacentral:rRNA from 1 species
UACGUAGGGGGCAAGCGUUGUCCGGAAUCAUUGGGCGUAAAGAGCGCGUAGGCGGCCCUGUAAGUCCGCUGUGAAAGUCAAGGGCUCAACCCUUGAAUGCCGGUGGAUACUGCAGGGCUAGAGUCCGGAAGAGGCGAGUGGAAUUCCUGGUGUAGCGGUGAAAUGCGCAGAUAUUAGGAGGAACACCAAUGGCGAAGGCAGCACUCUGGGACGGUACUGACGCUGAGACGCGAAAGCGUGGGGAGCAAACAGG